CUGCCAUCUAGUAAUUAAACACAGUGUGUGUCUCAUACAAAUCACUGUUAGUUGGGAAAAAAUACAGCCUUACCAUUUUAAUGAAAUUUUACCACUAAGAGCUAUUUGUUGACUACAAAGCAAGUAGAUUGUUUUCAGCGAUGGAAUUUUUUAUGCUGAAUGUAGUUUUUGCACAACAUUGCUGCAAAAUUUUGGUUCGAUUUUCUUCCAAAAAUCCUGGCAUAUUUCCUCGAUAAAAUGGCAGCAUUACAACAUAUGCCAAAUUCUAUCGCUGAAAACACUUAUCAUGAUGAGAUCUAUUAACACUGAAAAUUUCAGCCAGUUUGGUCAAAUUGGUAAAGAAUUAUCUUUUUUCAAAGAUGAAAAAUACCACAUUUCGGGAAAACGUCUAUAAAGUAUAAGUUAUCAAAUAUGAACUACCAACUGUUAAGAUAUACACUAUACUCGAUAUUUUAGACAAUUAAAAUUGUGCUGGGCAUCCCUCAUCAUCAAUUGUCAUGUGAAGUCAUUUCUUUUUCAAGAUUUACUUGUUUAUAAUAAGAAUCCUUUUAAAUUUUGAUUUUUCUACCAUUCCGUCCAAAUGCUGUUAUGUCUUGCAUCACCAUUUGGUUUUCCCGCAGUUUGAUGGUUGGUUUAAAAGAUGUUCCUGAGUGUUAACAGGACAUCCCAAUCCAGUUCUCAAUUUGUAUAGCUAAAUUUUCCAUCAUUUUCUUUGCUGAACCCACUUGCUG